rnacentral:rRNA from 1 species
UACGGAGGGUGCAAGCGUUAAUCGGAAUUACUGGGCGUAAAGCGCACGCAGGCGGUCUGUUGCGUCAGGAGUGAAAACUCGGGGCUUAACCCCGAGCCUGCUUCUGAUACGGGCAGACUAGAGGUAUGCAGGGGAGAACGGAAUUCCUGGUGUAGCGGUGAAAUGCGCAGAUAUCAGGAGGAACACCGGUGGCGAAGGCGGUUCUCUGGGCAUUACCUGACGCUGAGGAGCGAAAGCGUGGGGAGCGAACAGG